rnacentral:snRNA from 1 species
UGCCGCCACGGCUGCUGCUAC